UACGGAGGGCGCGAGCGUUACCCGGAUUUACUGGGCGUAAAGGGCGUGUAGGCGGCUUGGGGCGUCCCAUGUGAAAGGCCACGGCUCAACCGUGGAGGAGCGUGGGAUACGCUCAGGCUAGACGGUGGGAGAGGGUGGUGGAAUUCCCGGAGUAGCGGUGAAAUGCGCAGAUACCGGGAGGAACGCCGAUGGCGAAGGCAGCCACCUGGCUCACUGGUGACGCUGAGGCGCGAAAGAGUGGGGAGCAAACCGG
rnacentral:rRNA from 1 species